UUGUACUCCAGCCUGGACGACAGAGCUAGAUUUCAUCUCAAAAAAAAAAAAAAAAAAAAAAGGAUUCUCAGGGCUGCCAACUUUAUAGUAGAAGUUGAGGUGGUAGUGGAUUUCUCCUACACAA
rnacentral:snoRNA from 1 species